rnacentral:lncRNA from 1 species
CUGCGACAUCCUUCCUUCAUACUGGAGUUGAGUCCUAUAAAUUAGACUCUCUGAUAAUAUUGGACUUCCUUGUUUCCUGAAAUUCUGCAGCCUUUGGUGCUAGCAGGACUUCGAUAAAGGACCAGCCUUCCCAAUAUGAUUUCAUAAGAUUCAGAGCGAUCCCUUGUUUAUCUGUGGAAGCGCCAGGCACAGACCCUCCCUUCCAGUUCUCUCUCUGGCCUGAUGAGAGACUUUGACCUUCAUGCCAGGUCUUUGCCCAGAGUGUGACCCUGUCAUCUCAGAUGCCAUGUGCCACAGCACCGGGAAGAGAACGGGGCUGAAUGUUAACAAGAAAGUGGAAGGAAGCUCUGUCUGAAGAGAAACAGGAGGCCAGCACCAGCUGCACACCUGGGAUCCCAGCCCUCGGGGAGCUGGAGGGACAAGCAGAUGUGACAUUCAAGGUCAGCUUGGACUACCUGAGAUAAUUUAGCUCAUAAACAAAACCACGCAAACAAAAGAAAGCCACGUGGAGGCAGGAGGCUCCCCUAAGAAGCAGGAUUUAUGCAUAUCUCCUGCUCUGCUUGGCCUGGGAGCUUUCCCCACUUUGCCUACAGGCAUCCAGAUAAUGAGUUUGUGUUCCUUGUGUUAAGAGGCACAUCAGCUCCCUAUCAGACUGGCCUUCCCGGUGCUCUACUGAGCACAGAAGCACUUAUUGUUAUCUCUCACCAAUCUUGUACCCCUUGUAGACUUGCCAUUCCUUUCCAACUUCAAUAAGUUUCUCCUUAAAUAACCUUGUCUAAUUAAGUUCUCCUCCCCAACACCCCGCAUAAGUCCCAAUCUGUCUUACAGCCCUUCAGUCCUAAGACUCCAAUAAAGUUCUUUGUUCUUUACUGACU